CUUCGGGGGACGAUAACGGCGUCGAGCGGCGGACGGGUGAGUAAUGCCUAGGAAAUUGCCCUGAUGUGGGGGAUAACCAUUGGAAACGAUGGCUAAUACCGCAUGAUGCCUACGGGCCAAAGAGGGGGACCUUCGGGCCUCUCGCGUCAGGAUAUGCCUAGGUGGGAUUAGCUAGUUGGUGAGGUAAGGGCUCACCAAGGCGACGAUCCCUAGCUGGUCUGAGAGGAUGAUCAGCCACACUGGAACUGAGACACGGUCCAGACUCCUACGGGAGGCAGCAGUGGGGAAUAUUGCACAAUGGGCGCAAGCCUGAUGCAGCCAUGCCGCGUGUGUGAAGAAGGCCUUCGGGUUGUAAAGCACUUUCAGUCGUGAGGAAGGUGGUGUAGUUAAUAGCUGCAUUAUUUGACGUUAGCGACAGAAGAAGCACCGGCUAACUCCGUGCCAGCAGCCGCGGUAAUACGGAGGGUGCGAGCGUUAAUCGGAAUUACUGGGCGUAAAGCGCAUGCAGGUGGUUUGUUAAGUCAGAUGUGAAAGCCCGGGGCUCAACCUCGGAAUAGCAUUUGAAACUGGCAGACUAGAGUACUGUAGAGGGGGGUAGAAUUUCAGGUGUAGCGGUGAAAUGCGUAGAGAUCUGAAGGAAUACCGGUGG
rnacentral:rRNA from 1 species